GAUAGAUUGGAGAAGAGCCCAAGAGAAAUUUUUCAUCCCUUGAUAUAAAAGGGAUCGGUGAAUUUUAACUUUGGAGUCCCCUAUGCUAAGGAUGCUCAGCUUACAGGUGAUGAAAUGUUCAGUAAUGUAUUUGCUGCAGCUCUGCUUACCCAAGCUUUGGGUUCCUUCUGUCCCACUGGGAGUUGCCCAAUUUGGUUGCAUCUGGUGAAAUUCACCCUGAGACCUUACAGAACCAGCUCCAACUACAUGAGAGCCAUUUGCAGUUCUCUCCAGACGCCUGGAGAAUGGGCGACGUUUCUGAGGAUCCGGCGAGCGUGCUUCUGUCAAAACUCAGUCUGUGAAAUUCCUGGGGAAAACCCUUCUGUGUCCUGAAGGGUUCAAACUCUGGUGAGGAUCCAGUUAUCAGGUGCUCACCUGGAUGGUUCCAGCUCCCAAAGGGAAAGACUCUCGUAUCCUUGUCGUCGGGCUCAGUGCUGUCCAAGAAGAUACAGAGACUAAAAAAAUCAUAAGAAGCAAAAUAUGACUGCAGGGAAAAGAAGCUGGAGAGAACAGAAGAAAUGGAAUUGGGACGACGCCUUGGCCAGCCCCUCUCUGCCAUCGUCUCCUGAAUCUGCAGCAGAGCAGUUCCAGUCCAUCCGGGCACGUGUAAUCCAGUUCCUGAUGAUCUGAGCACACGGAGCAGCGCUCAGCUGCUGUGGGGGGCUCACGGAAGGCAGAGUGUGCAUUGUCAUCUUCCUGAACCUACAGACGAAUCAAAGUGAGAAGCAACAGCGUGGAAAUCAGUCGCAUAUAUGCUAAAUAAAACUUGCAGAUUUUUU